AAUAAACACAUUUUGAGACGCUAAAACAAUGGAGGCCUUUUGGAGGCAGGCCUUUUUGGGCACACUUUGAUCUCUACUACACUUGGCAAAGCUUUUAGCACCCAUGUCUAGAGCGGAUUUGUGCCUGUUCUACUAAUAGUUUUAGAAAAAAACCCAUGUUCUGCCUAAAGCCCAGCCCACUACCCUACCCAAGCCAGAGACCCUAAACUUUGUAAACCCAUGCGGCUGCUUCUCUGCGUCGGAUCUCUUCUCACCUUGGUCUGUGCCCGACGCGGCGACGCCGAUACUCAUUGCCCCUUUCCCCCUUCUUAGAUUUUCUUGUCUAUUUGCACGACUGCUGCGCCUCCUCAAGUCCUCUGAUCUGCUGUGCUUCGUUUGUCGUCGAUACUCUGCUGCGCCUCGUGUGAGUGGUGUCGUCGAUACACUGCUGGUUGCUGCAGUGUUGUCUCGUUUCCUGCUUUUCUCGUCUCGUCUUCGAUUCAAGGUCAGGCACUUCAUAGUCUUCUUUCCUUCUGCAACUUGUAAUUUUCAUAAGCAGUUCGUAUAUGUAUACAGCUUGAAUAUAUAUGUAUAUGAAUAGGCAAUGUCGGCAUGAAAGUUCUGUCUUAUGGGCCAAAGUAUCCUUUGUGUAUUCUGGAUGUUGUGCUUAUUAGAUGUUGGUACAUCUUUUAUUUCCAUGUUAAUGAUUUUGUUGAAGAGGUGUUGUUGGUUUCCUGUUCCAGGAUGUCAAGCAUGUAUCUAAGGUUAGGCUCUACAUAGUUCAUAUUUCAUAAAAGGUUUAGCCAGAGCAAUUCUAUUUCUACCAGAUAUUAUUCCUGUCUUACACAAGAAAUUAGAAAACAACUGCAUACGGAAGAAGCCUAACUAGGUUCAUGGGAAUUUGUAUACUGGCAGAACCAUAUAGAACUUGUAGCUUUACAUCUUUUACCACUAGGUUUUUCAUUUUUAAACUAUGGAAACCCGGAGUUGAGUUCUGAGAAACUAUGUGAUUUGGCCCAAACGGAAUAAACCCCGAGCUGAGAUAUUUCUUUCCAUAUCAAUUAAGUACAUUGAGAUUCUUUUAGGCUUUGGAUGCAUGACCUUAUGUUUCUGAUAGAGGCCAUCUUUCUAUUUCCAUUGUAUUUUAGAAGCAAUUAGCUCCAGCUGUUGUGUAAGAUUUAUCCUGACUUUGAUUGAAUACAUUUUUGCUAUUGCAGAUGUUACUCUUUUUUCUUUUAAUGAUAAUAAAAUUAUUUUGAUGUGUCUGUGUCCGAGUUUAUUAUUUUUUAUUUCAAAUUCUGUGAAAUGCAGAAUUUAAGACUACUAGCUUUUUCUUAUGUGCUGCUUGGAUUAGUUGUUCUUGGGCAAUUUUGUCAAAUUAGUUUGUGCUUAUGGAAUGUGGAGAUUGCUGUAAACCAGGGUAUUCUAUCUUGUCUCUUUAUUGAUGCCAUACUAUGUCAAUAAAUUUUUUUCAAAUUUGGGAAUUGUAAAUUGUUCAUUUGAUGUUUCAUUAAACAGUCGGCAUAUUAGAUUGUGCUUCAUUUAUGUGAUAUAUGCAUUAAUCUCUUUGUUUAAAAGCAUAGAUAACCUGUAUAUAUUUUAUUUUAUUUUUUUUACUCUUUCAAUUUUUCUGAUUUGGGUUUGGGUAUUUGACCUAUUUACAUCCUUUUUAAUUAAUUUCGAGAAAAAAAAAAUCAAUUGAGUUUGGGUAAUAAUAAUUGGAUUUUGGACGGUACAGCUUGCAAGAUAGUAAUUUUAAUCGAGUUUGGGAAGGGUUUGGCUGGUAGUUUUCUUACAUGGGUUCAGAUUCAGGUACCUGCAGGCUUCACUCUUAGUCUAGCCUAGAUAAUACUUUUAGCUGCUGCUCUGCUGUGGUGCCACUGUCACCCCUUAGUGUCAAAGGUAAUUUGAGAGUGGUUCAACCUGAAUUCCCAUAAAUUGAGGUAAAAAAUCUCUAAAUUAAGGAAAGUCUUGAUAUGUUUUGUGUAGCUGCUGCUUCUGCACAUAUUUUUGCUAAGCUUCAAUGUGUUUAAAAUGGUGGAAAGGGAGGUAACAUGGGAUAUUUCUUUGGUCUGAGCUCUGAAACUUGUAUUCUAUAUGGUUCAGAUAUGUGAUUUUUUUUUUUUUUCUGGAUUAAUGUUGGAGAUUCUGGUGGGAAGAGAAGAUGAGUCUGAUUUGCAAUUUUGCUUUCUGUAUUUUAUGCUUUUCUCUUUCUCCAGUUUAUUUGAGUUUUGAUGUAUCCAUCCAUGCAUGUAUUUAGGUAGGAUUUUACAAUUUUUGUUUUCCUUUGUGGUUGAACUGAUCUGCAACCUAAACAAGGCAAAGAAAAUGAAGAAGAGAAACCAAACAAGCGAUGCUAUGGAUAGCAAGGACCGUGAUUGGGACUUCAGAAAGCUUAUGAAAGACAUCGAGUUUUUGGGUGCCUCACAUAUGACAUGGAAAGAAAGGAAAGAGUUGGAGAACCGGAAGGUAGUGUCUCUUGGUGGCAAGCCUCCAAAGAAACAAAGACUGCCUUUAAGUGUAGCACGUGUACAAAUGAAGAAACAAAAGGAAAGAGAGGAGAAAAUGCUUCAAGAGAAUAUAAUUCUUGGACGAUUUGGAGGUAAGCUUGGUGGUGGAGCUAAAAGAUCAAUGGAGAAGCGCAAACAGGAGAACGGGGUGCUGAGGUCAAGCGAGGGAUAUUUCAGAAAUGGUGUACUUGAUGUGAAGCAUAUGUUAAACCCAGCCUCAUCAAAAGAUAAUGAUUCCAGUAAUCAUGUUGUUGGUAAAGAGAAGAAGAAGAAGAAGGGAAGCGGAAAGAAAAAUCGAGGAAAGAAGAAAGGCAGUGGUAGGAAGCGCCAUUGAACAUAAAUGAUGGUAAUCUCUGUCAAGACGACGAGUGGAAAUCCAACUUCAACUGCUGAUACUUGCAGUUAUAUGACUCUCUCUCUCUCUCUCGUUAAGAAAAAUGUAAUCUUGGCAAUAACUCAGAACUCAAAGGUGCUGCAAUAGUAGUCGUAAACGAUUGAUCUUUCAGCUGGAAUGAGCCAAUUUAUUCAGUAAGAAAAGUUACAAUUCAAUCCAAUCA
rnacentral:misc_RNA from 1 species